UUUUUUUUUUGUUCCUGCUGUUCCUCUUAUUCCCGUUUUUCAAUCUCAUGAUCUCUUCCCCUUCUUUCCAAUCCAGAUUAACAAUGCUCCCAAAUUCAGAUCGAUGAUGCCUCCUUCUUUUAUAUCGAGAUAGAAGAUGCCAGAAACCGAACGCGAGGUCUACCCCUUUGCUGAUUUAUUUCUGUCAUAGGGAGCAUUACCAAAAACCAACCCUAGCCUAUCGUUUCUCUCUUCUCCCACCGGAACCCUAUUUGACAAUUUGCCUACCAUUCCGAAGAACAAAAAACCCGACACUGUUCUUAACCUUGUGUUCUUGAACCCCGGACCAAAUUUUGAUUUUUUUCCCGACGAAUAUAAACCCAACACGAUUCUGUAGUCAAUCGGUUUGUCUCCUCUUUAAAUUCUUUGAUUACAAUCAACAUUCAAGCUUAAUUUUAAUUGUUUGAUUUGUGGUUUGUUAAUUGUUCCAUUUUUUUUCUUUUAUGUACAUAAGCUACAUAAUCAUGUUUGAUUGUGGGAUUUUUCUUGAUAACCGGCAAGGGAUAGUAAGGAUGUAUAAGGUUUCAUUUUAAGAUUUUUCUGAUGGGAAAUCAUGAAGUUCUUAUGGGAUUAUUCUGGUAAUUUUCCAUCUAGUUGAUUUCAGAAAUUUUAGCAAUUUCAAGAAUUUUUUGGUUGCAAUUUUGAUUUUUCUAGAUUUCAAUUCAUCAUGUCUUCUUGUCGUCCGAGGUGUGUUUGUUGUCGGAGGGGGUGGUAG
rnacentral:lncRNA from 1 species